rnacentral:rRNA from 1 species
UACGGAGGGUGCAAGCGUUAUCCGGAUUCACUGGGUUUAAAGGGUGCGUAGGCGGGCAGAUAAGUCAGUGGUGAAAUCUCCAAGCUUAACUUGGAACUGCCGUUGAUACUAUCUGUCUUGAAUACUGUGGAGGUGAGCGGAAUAUGUCAUGUAGCGGUGAAAUGCUUAGAUAUGACAUAGAACACCAAUUGCGAAGGCAGCUCACUACACAGCCAUUGACGCUGAGGCACGAAAGCGUGGGGAUCAAACAGG